rnacentral:rRNA from 1 species
UUGACCUCAANUCAGGUAGGACUACCCGCUGAACUUAAGCAUAUCAAUAAGCGGAGGAAAAAAACUAACANGGAUCCCC